ACGCUCCACCUCCAGUGGCUGGUGCUCCGUGGUCGUAGUUUCCCGGGGUGGGGGCGGGGGAGGAGCACCGUAGCGUAUAUAAUUCACCCUGCUGUCCACAGCCUUCCUUUGUGUUCGGCUUGACUGAAAUGACUAAACGCUUACAUUUUCCUCAUUCGGGGACAGAUUUUUUUCAGACAGUUCUCCACAUUGAUGCAGUUUAAUAGCAAGAAAAGUCUGCAGACUCCACACUUGCAGCAUAUGGAUGUUGUGUAUCGUUGAGCACCACUUGCAUUCCUGGUGCCUGCAAAGGUCAGAAGACAGUCUUGGAACCCCUGG